UGAGGAACAUGACCUUCGGCGGGGGAGUAGCCGGCCCAACGGCCGGGUAAUACCGCGUACGCUCGAGACCAGGCAUUUGGACUCGAGGAAACCUCCGGGGCAUUUCGAGGGGCUCGCGGCCUAUCAGCUAGCUGGUGAGGUAACGGCUCACCAAGGCGACGACGGGUAGCCGGCCUGAGAGGGUGACCGGCCACACUGGGGCUGAGACACGGCCCAGACUCCUACGGGAGGCAG
rnacentral:rRNA from 1 species